rnacentral:rRNA from 1 species
CCUACGAGAGGCAGCAGUGGGGGAUAUUGCACCAUGGGGGAAACCCUGAUGCAGCGACGCCGCGUGGGCGAAGAAGUAUUUCGGGAUGUAAAGCCCUAUAAGCAGGGAAGAAGAAAUGACGGUACCUGAGUAAGAAGCACCGGCUAAAUAAGUGCCAGCAGCCGCGGUAAUACGUAUGGUGCAAGCGUUAUCCGGAUUUCCUGGGUGUAAAGGGAGCGCAGGCGGCACGGCAAGCCUGAUGUGAAAGCCAGCGGCCCAACCGCGGGACUGCAUUGGGAACUACCGGGCUGGAGUGCCGGAGAGGUAGGCGGAAUUCCUAGUGUAGCGGUGAAAUGCGUAGAUAUUAGGAGGAACACCAGUGGCGAAGGCGGCCUACUGGACGGUGACUGACGCUGAGGCUCGAAAGCGUGGGGAGCAAACAGGAUUAGAUACCCUGGUAGUC